rnacentral:rRNA from 1 species
GACGAACGCUGGCGGCGUGCUUAACACAUGCAAGUCGAGCGGAAAGGCCACUUCGGUGGUACUCGAGCGGCGAACGGGUGAGUAACACGUGAGUAAUCUGCCCCUGGCUUUGGGAUAGCCACCGGAAACGGUGAUUAAUACUGGAUACGACCACUUCUCGCAUGGGAUGGUGGUGGAAAGUUUUUUCGGCCAGGGAUGUGCUCGCGGCCUAUCAGCUUGAUGGUGAGGUAAUGGCUCACCAUGGCUUCGACGGGUAGCCGGCCUGAGAGGGUGACCGGUCACACUGGGACUGAGACACGGCCCAGACUCCUACGGGAGGCAGCAGUGGGGAAUAUUGGACAAUGGGCGGAAGCCUGAUCCAGCAACGCCGCGUGAGGGAUGACGGCCUUCGGGUUGUAAACCUCUUUCAGCAGGGACGAAGCGCAAGUGACGGUACCUGCAGAAGAAGCACCGGCCAACUACGCGCCAGCAGCCGCCGUAA